UACGGAGGGUGCAAGCGUUGUCCGGAAUCACUGGGCGUAAAGCGCGUGUAGGCUGCUUCAAAAGUCGGGUGUGAAAGCCCUGGGCUCAACCUAGGAAGUGCACUCGAAACUGCGGAGCUUGAGUCCUGGAGAGGAAGGCGGAAUUCUCGGUGUAGAGGUGAAAUUCGUAGAUAUUCGGAAGAACACCAGUGGCGAAGGCGACUCACUGGACCACAACUGACGCUGAGGCGCGAAAGCUAGGGGAGCAAACAGG
rnacentral:rRNA from 1 species